GGUUGAAUUGGGCUGUAGCAGUGAGUCACGUCCUGUGACCUUUGCAGCUGAUUUUACACCUGAACAGUUCCCAAACUCUGGAGUCUGAAACAGAGGACGCAGAGGAGACCAUGCACUUAAGACAGAACAGUGAAUAAAGGCGAGAGAAUGAUUUUAAUUUUUCAGUUUGACUACAAGGGACCAAAAAAAAAAAAAAAACUGAGACAAAAAUAAAAAACCUGAAGGCUGAAGGUUAGCUGCAUCAACAGGUCAUGACCAAAAUGUAAAAAAAAUAAAAAAUCAGAAAAUUGCCAUAUGAUUUCCCAAAGGCAAAGUGCAAUACUUCAUGAUAUGCUUUAACAGUAAAAAAAAAAAAAAAGGAAAAAAAUGGCUAAAAAUCUUAAAAGAGUAGAAAGCAAAAAUAUUUUCAUACAUAACAAUUUACAAAACAAAAAAAUACUCCAUGAAUUAAAAAAAAUGCAGUCUCUUACCGAUGAAAAGAAAUUACAAAAAUGUUAUGAACACAAAAAUGCAAAAUAAUUUGAGACAAAAAUAAUAAACAAAAUGCAAAAUUUUUGAUGAUACAACAAAAAUCAGACCAAGGUAUUUCAUAAAAAAUAUUUCAGAUUUUCAUUAUAAAUUUUUGUGUCACAUGAAAAAUAUUUUGAAUUUUUUUUUCGAAUCUUGAAAUAUAUUUGUUUCAGGACAUAUUUUUGAAAAAAUUUGUGACUUUUUUUUUCAUUUUGUGUAUUUUUUCAUGUUUCAAAUCAGCUUACUCUAUUAUAUGAGGCUUUAUCGCUUUUGGUUAAAUGAUCUGGGGGUCAAUCAAAAAAGAAAAUGCUUCACUUUUUUUACAGUUGCGGUUCAGGGCCUCCAUAAAUGCAUGUACAAGCACCGUGUUUGUGUAUAUGUGUGUGUGUGUGUGCGUCCAUUAUCUCAAGAGCCAGUCAUUCUCAGUGGUGUUUGCAGUGGAUCGCUCCGUUGACCGCUAAUGCAGAAGAGACCCUCAGUGAGAAUGAACUGAAGGCUCUUUAGAGCUUUCUACUCUGUGUUUACCUCGGUCAUUAUGAACGCCCCCUUCUCCAUCAAACCCCCUCUAGUUCAUGCAUGUCUGUGUGUGUCUGUGUCUGUGUGUGUGUUAACAGCAUCAUCAAACCAACCUGGGUACAGAUGGCCUGCUUCACACACACUUGGGGAACACUUGCAGGCAGAAUAAUACUGUAAUUUACACACUUUUAUUUGCGGAAACUGCUCAUGUUAACAGGCAGAUAGCUCCAACCAGCCAAUCAGGUUGUUUCCAUCAGACUCUGAAGGUGAUUUCUGAGUGUUAACAGGCGGCGAGUGUGUGCAGACAAAAGGAUGGAGGGAAAAAAACAGGGAAAAGAAAGGAGAGUGAGGUUGAUUGAUGGUGAGGAAGGAGAAUCGAUGGGACUAUGUGAAAGAGGAGAAAACAGAGAGUAUUGGCUGUCUGUCCUCUUAUUAUGAUCUGGGGCAUAAAUGAAGGUUUGCGCUGUUUGUCUGCGCCACUUUGUUAAUAUGUUUUCUGAUGAGGUGUGGUGCCGAUAAAAACGAUCCGGUUGUGAUGAAUUGAGCUCAGGGAAAGAGAGAAAGGCAGCAGACAGACACCAGCAUUAUCAUGCCUUCAUCCUUUGCUCACAUGCAGGGCCCCCUGAACGUGCCUGUUGCUAUGGCAACUCAUUUUAGAGCCCUUCUCUCUCUCUCUCUCUCUAUUUCCUCUGUCUCUCUCUCUCUCUCUAUCCAACAUCUAAAUAAAAUCUGGGCUAUUUAUAGAAGCAGCACAGUGCAACACGCAAGAACGCACAUGCAUGAAUGUGAACGCACCACAACAACGAUCUGACAUGCGUGUGCGCGGACGUGCUGCCAGAAAUGCCCGCGCUCCCUGCUGAGUGUCCAUCUGUGAAAGUGCAACUGCAUUUUGUUUCCUUUGCAUCAAAGAGGGUAAAACGAUGACUGCCGCUCCUCCUCGCCGAAGCCUGGAGCGGUGAAAUCUUCCUUCUGCUGUUUGAUCCAUUUCAGAUUUAUCUUGUCAGGCGUCGAGAUGCGCUCUCCAGGCCAAACUGAUAAGAAUACACGGGGCGCCAGAGAGUGAUUGACGCAGGCUUACCUAUCAGGGUAUGAUAGCGUUUCAACUGUCAGGUUUAUCCUGAACGAUCAGGAUGACUUCACUGUUAAAGAGCUGGUUAAUGUACAAGCACCAUUACUCUGUUUUUUUUUUUUUUUGGCGCGCUAGCUCAAAAGGUUAGCAUGUGCCUUGGCGGCGUCAUUUUUCAACACAGCCCCCUUCUUGCAGUUUUCCCAAAAAAGCAGAUUUUUCAUACACACAUCCAGCUUCUAGAGACCAUAGACUGUAUAUACUAUGGACAACUUGGUUCCGCCUUCCGCCAGUACACGGAUUUGAAGCCAAAAAAGCUCUCGGUAAUUCUGUGUUUUUUCUCCACUUCCUGAAACCAACGUUUCGCAGCAGCAUUGUGUGCAUUUGGCGGGAGAGUCACCAAGAGUCGCUGCAAUGAUGCUUAGCUCAAACAGCGUAUCCCCCAGUGUUGACUUUUUUUUUUUUUGUAGGAAGAUAGGGGAAGGUCCCGCCCUCCUUCACCUCUGAUUGGCUAGAACUGCUGGGCUCCGAUUGGUUAUUCCUUAUUGCUGUGAAACGUCAUCGUUUGUGGGGUUAGGGUUAGGAGAUUCAGAAUUGCAAUAAUCUAUAAUGUUCUGUUCGAUGUACAGAGCCGACGGCCUGUGUUUGACUUGAGACUGUGAUGAUGUUUCUAGCUUUUCUAGCCAAUCAGAGGCAAAGGAGGCAGGACUUUCUCCUACACCGUCCUUCUCCUUGUACCGUCCUACAAAAAAAUAUAUAUCGCUUCCGGGACAGAUCAGGGACAGACUGACUUCAAUGCCUAUUGACGCAUCCAACAGGAAGUAGUAUUUUAAGCCCUUGCACUACGUUUAGAGACAUCAGAUUUGGUACACAGAAGCCCAGUUGGCAGCGACACAAUUCAUAUAUGUAUUGUUACUGGGCACAGCCUAGAUGAUGCAAUCAGCCACACCCAAAGUCUCUGAAAUUCCUCUUUGGCUUUCAGUCAUAAUUGUCAAAUAUUAGUUGUAAUAUUUCACAAACCCCAACGUGCUUCAUUCACCCAAGUUCUUGAAGAUGUGAAGGCACACUAGCUGCUACUUUGAUCUUUCAUUUAGGAAUGUAAUCUAUCCCUGCUUCUUGAUUGGGGUGUUGAUACUGUUUCGAAGCUCAGGUGAGCCUGAAAGUCCCUCAUUUUUGACCCUAAGUACAACAAAUGGCUAAAUAUUUCCAGUCGCAGGCUCAGAUCCAGGGAUGAAAGACUAAAUCUCUUUUUGUAUUGUGGGAUAAAAGGGUUUAAGAGCUCCAGGAGCAGAUGAAAACAGACAUAUGGCUGCUGUCGCUGCUGCUGCUGCUGCUGGUUUGCAGUGCGGUUAAACUUGAUGGCGAUCUGCAGACUUCUAACAGAUGCUCCUCUUACAUUUGUCCACAAUGUCAUAUUCAUUACUGCAAAAGCUGUAGAUCUCCACUGCAACCCCAACUUGAUC